rnacentral:rRNA from 1 species
GUGGGGAAUAUUGGACAAUGGGCGCAAGCCUGAUCCAGCCAUGCCGCGUGAGUGAUGAAGGCCCUAGGGUUGUAAAGCUCUUUCACCGGAGAAGAUAAUGACGGUAUCCGGAGAAGAAGCCCAGGCUAACUUCGUGCCAGCAGCCGCGGUAAUACGAAGGGGGCUAGCGUUGUUCGGAAUUACUGGGCGUAAAGCGCACGUAGGCGGUUAUUUAAGUCAGGGGUGAAAUCCCAGAGCUCAACUCUGGAACUGCCUUUGAUACUGGGUACCUAGAGUGUGGAAGAGGUGAGUGGAAUUCCGAGUGUAGAGGUGAAAUUCGUACAUAUUCGGAGGAACACCAGUGGCGAAGGCGGCUCACUGGUCCACUACU